UACGUAGGGGGCAAGCGUUGUCCGGAAUUAUUGGGCGUAAAGCGCGCGCAGGCGGUAUUGUAAGUCUGUCGUUUAAGUUCGGGGCUCAACCCCGUAUCGCGAUGGAAACUGCAAAACUUGAGUGCAGAAGAGGAAAGUGGAAUUCCACGUGUAGCGGUGAAAUGCGUAGAGAUGUGGAGGAACACCAGUGGCGAAGGCGACUUUCUGGGCUGUAACUGACGCUGAG
rnacentral:rRNA from 1 species